rnacentral:sRNA from 1 species
UUUCACAAACUUCACUUUCGUUCUAGCCGUCUCUUCUCUCGUCUCUGAUCUCUCCCUCGUCUCUGAUCUCUGAUCUCUCCCUCUUCUCUCGUCUCUGAUCUCUUCUUUCGUUCUAGCCGUCACAACCAUUUCACAAACUUCACUUUCGUUCUAGCCGUCUCUUCUCUCGUCUCUGAUCUCAUCUCUCUCUCUGUGACGAAUUCCGGCCAGCCACCGGCCCACCACCACACUUGACGAAUUGCAGAGUUCACUACUUCACUUCUUCCUCGUCCUUUCCUUCCACAACCCACGGUCCACCUCAGGCAUCCUCUUCCUUCUUCUUCCUCCACCUCAGGUAAAAAAGUUCGUAACUUCCGUGUUGGGAUGGUUUUCGAUAAGCCAAAAGGAACACUGAUGUUGGUUUCACUGUGGAUGACGGGACAGGGCGAAUCAAGUGCUGAAGAUGGUUGUACGUAAAUUACACAUGUCCAUUUGCACAGCGGGUUUGGAUCACUGAACUACAAGGGUUUGCAAGACAAGAUUAAGUUAGUCGGUAUAGAUCUUCAAAACAGGCCUGAUUGGUACAAGGAAAAGGUCUACCCUGGAAACAAGGAAAUCAACAAGAUUGAGGCAUACAAGGUAACAAAAGCUGAUCCAAAGGAGAUUGUUGCAGUGUUCAAGAAGCGACAGUAUAUGCCUUGAAUUUGUUACAGGCCUGUGAAAAACUUCGACGAAGUUACCCUGUUGAGACGAUCUCCAUUGUUGGAAAGAUUUGCUCUGAGGUAACUCCAUUAAUAUACACUGUUAUAUAUUAAUAUUAAUGUACACACUAUGCUGAACUGUGGUUGUGAUAUAUUAAUGUCCACGAUCACGACCACCCAUUGUAAGGGGAAGGGCUCAACCAUCAACAUCAAGGGAAAGAUUACAAGUGCCAACAAGAAGGGGCCGAAGGGGCCGAAGAUGUCAACAAUCUUCAUAAACUUGAAACUUUGUUUUUUUGCUUUUGGUUUGUAACUUAAUUAUUAAAACUUUGGAUUGUAACUAAUUUUUUUGCUUUUGGUUUGUAACUUAAUUAUUAAAACUUUAGAUUGUAACUAAUUUUUUUGCUUUUGGGUUUGUUACUUUAUUUAUUUUAAAACCUU